CUUUUCUGUACGAAAGGAGACCGUAAAGGCAGAGCAAACGAAACUUGAGGAUGAAGAUGAAGAUGUGUUGAUAAGAUCUGAAACGUAAAAUGCAUAAAACUUAAAUUUUCUCGAUGUUGCAGAUACAUUCAUACAAAUGAUGUUGAAGAAACAAAGAGAAAAGGAACUUGGACUGUACCAGUUUGUUUGCAGCUUCUAAGAUAAAGGAGGUAAAUUUCCUCUGUUGACAAAAACAUGGUUGAGGAGUCGGAAAGUUUGACUGAAGAUUAAGGAUAUCAAAUGAAGAUUAUUAUUGAAAAAAGAGCACUUUGAAGUACUAGCCUAGGAGAAUUUGAAAAC